rnacentral:hammerhead_ribozyme from 1 species
GUACUGAUGAAGAGUCUCAAACCAAGCGGACGAAACGGCUGUCCAAUAC